ACAAAAGAGAGGAGGACACCACAGCUACAGAUUGAUCUGUCUGUGGCUACACAACCAUCAUAACCAUACAUCUUGCCUAUAGUUCAGGGCAUUUAUCUGUCCGUGAUCCACUCAUAAACCUAUGAUUUGUCUCAACUGGAUUCUGGAUUUAAUCACUUUAAAAACAUUAUAAUAGUUGGAUUUUCAGCAAUAUGCAGUAAAAUUACUUAGGAUGUGAUUCUUCAGCAAACUGGCUCUCCAUGGUAUUAAAGUACUGACUGUGUAAAACUGGACAACAGCAUUAAAUCAAUGCCCAAUAAUCAUUGUACACAUUAUGUAUAAUACAUACAGUCUGCUCUGUAUACAUUAUUGGAGCAUUUGCAUUGUAAAGUGAGAACACUGAGGUCUGAGCCUGAAUGACUUAAUGGAUGGAGAAGAGGUCAUCACUGGUCCCUAGAGAGACGACGAAAACUCAGUAACACCGUCUUAUCUUUAACUCAUGUCCAGUAAACAGGCAAAGGAAGUCCGGUAGCUGUAGGAGAAAACACAUCAAUAUACCACACUCAAUAAACUGUAUUCAGGUUGCAGUAAACUUGAUGCUCAUUAGUAGGAGGUGGCUGAAAGCAUGAAGCUUAUUUUAAGUCCAUCUUCUUGUCAAAUGUACCACGGCAGCAGCAUCAUUAGAGCUGACUGAAAAAAAUUGGAAAAAUGAACUGCUGAUAUAUCCAUGACUGCAAAGAAAGAAAGUAUUUAAUUAAGCUGAUGAAUUAAAGAAAAGUUGUAUAAUGGGUGUCUUAUUAGAAAGUAGUACUGAACUGAGUUCUCACAACAUCUGGUUGAACUGGAGGAAACCUGUGCUCAGAAAGUUUUUGAAAGAUAGAUGCCAAACACACCCAUCCAGGGCACACAUAGUACUUUGGUGCUAGAAGCAUAAAACUCUGUAGGUUAACAACUAAAGCUCCGUGUACACACAGCAACAGAAAGAUUCAGAUUUAUGAACCUAUGCUCAUGUGUGUCUCAGCUUUAUAAAUGUAACCCAUUUGAAACAGGGCUACCAAAACCCUAUUGGUCGUUUAGGAGUUGUGGUUGCAUGUUGUUACACUGUGCAACACCUGGUGUAGGUGGCGCUAAGUGCUGUUUCCUGUGGCUGUUUUCCCAACACCCCCACACUUGACCUUGUGACCUCCUCCUGACAACGUGCUGCAGAUCAGCUAAACAGUUCUUGGUAGGAAACAGCACAGAAUAAUUGUAAAACCUUGAAUAUUUCCAUUUGUCAACGCUAAUAAGCUGCUCCUUUAUUAGAAUCCCGACUAUGAACUUGAGGGAGACAGCUUCUGUCGAGUUGUUAGUGUUGAAAUCCUGGUUGGUUUUUGUUUACCAGAUAAAAUCUAUGAGGAAUCUGUGAUGGAGAGCCUAGGCUGGGAGAUUGUGGAUGAACGUGGAAACAGUGAGGCCAACCAUGGGAUCAGUCCAUAGAAGAUAUCUGAACAGCAGCCAAUCACCUCCCAGCCACAUGGGAGAACUAAACAAUCACUCAUCUGUCUCAUCUCAGGCCAAAUACUGGUGAGAGCAGCAGAGGUGAGCAAAGGGAACGGGCAUUUGUAUCUGUGUGUUUAGGGACUGAUACUUGUGUGUUUGUAUGUUCAUGUUGAUUAAUUCACAUGGACCCCAGAUAAUGAUGCAUUUACACUAUUAACUCUACCCAGGUAGUAGUACUUAUCAUAGGUGCAGAACAUCCAACACACACACCCGCACAGGAACAAAGAAACUGAACUCUUGGUUUUCUGACAUUUCAAAUGAGUGCUGGAGUUGAGGAUCUCAUCUUGAAGGGGAGUGAUUAUUUAUUUUUUUUAUUUUGUUUAGUUUCUUUUUUAUUUGAAAGAGCUCUGUCUUUACAUUUUUGUUUCAUUUUGUUUGUACACAAUUGCAGCACUGUGUAAAUUAUAUUAUUGCUGUGGAACAAUAAAUCUGUCAACUGUUCAACGUCAUUCUAACUCCUCUUGUGAGUUUCUAAAGGCAAACCGCUCCUUGAACCUAGGUAGAUGUUAGUAUCAGUUUUAUUUCCAUAGAUCAAGACUACAGGCGCUACACAAAGCUCAACCAUCAUGAAACUGGGUGCACAUACAUGAGCCCACAGCCAUAGAUGGAUGUAGACACGCUGUCAAUCAUAUGUUUGCAUAUCAAUGCUUCUGCCCGCUCCACCAGUCUUCCAAUAAGAAGAAAAUACAAAAAAGGUGCAAUUUAUCAUUACAUGAUACCAUCUGUAGAGACUGUAUUAUCAAUAAUUCACUCCACGUCUUAAUGUAUUUUUCAUCUCCAGCUUAUCAUGUAGAGUAAACCUUGGCUUACUCUAGAAAACCAUGUGUAUGUCCAGUGAUGUAUGCAUGAAGUGCACAUGUUCUUUAUGUGAUGGAAAUGACAUAUGCAUGGUUUUGUGCACUUGCACAUAGUGGUGGUUAAGUCUUUCUUCUCUGGUCUUAUUGUUUACAUGAACUAUCCAUAUACAUUAUCACAAAUGAAUGUAUAUUAAAAAUCAGGCACCACAGGAUUCCUAUUCAAAACCCAAAAUGUCUCUGUUAGUAUACUUAUCCAGGGUUGUUGCUGAAAGAUGAAAAAUCAGGGCUCCUCAUUGGCUACCUACCGACGAGAGCCCGACGCAGACCUCCGAUUGGCUGGAGCAGGGGCAGACAUGGGGCCAGACAGCCUCCUGCACAACCUGAAGUUUCUUCUGUCCUCACUUUCUGCUCUGCAGCUCACCGGUCAAAACCUGGAGCCUGGAGGAGAACACAGACAUGACCAGCUCCAUUCAGGAUGAAGACGCAGUGAUAAGGCUGCAAUUAGGAGCAUGUCUCCACGCCUCAUACCUGGAGCCUCAAGGCAAGUUAGGACCACAGGAUUACCUCAACAAAUAUUUCGCAUGUAUGUGAAAAGGGUCACACAUAAGUGACAAACAUCCGGUUCUGCAGCUCCCUUCAGCUCUACCGACCUUGAUAGUAACUUUCAGCUGGUUGUUUUGGUUUUCUGGCUUGUAGCUUUAAUGUUUUGAUUCGCUCUCAGGGCUGCGGCAGGCGGCACGAAAAUCCCUCUCUGUGCUACCUGCACAGCACCAACAGUUGACAGGCAACAUUAGAGACAAAUGGUUAACAUACUGGUGCAGCUAACCAGCAAGUUUUCCCCUCAGGAGUUGGUGGAGACUAAAAUAGAGCGGCAAACGAUGACGCUCAUGUUGCUCCACAUCUGCUGGAUGUUUAAAAGGGAAGCGAUUUGUUAACAUGUUCCCAUAUUAACAUGAUGGGUGAUAAUAAAGAAAGGCAUUUUAAUAACUUGGACAAAACUGUUUAUUACAUAAUCAUGUAAAAACAGAGCACCCCAUAUGAAAACCACUGAGAUUGGCAGUGGCAUGUUUCCCUUUCAUACAGACUAAAUCCACUUAUAUGGAAAUGCUGCUCCUCCCCAGCAGCAUGAGUAGUGGUGGAGUUAAAUGCUGUGACUGACAAUACAACCAACAGUCCAGAGGAGACUGAUGGCUGCAUGUUCUGUGUGCAAGAGGCCUAUGGAGAUUUUACACAAAUACAGAGAUGAAGUGAAGUGUAGCAUGCAGAGACCACUGCUGCAGUGCUGCACUCUUAUAGAUCAAUAAUAGUUUGUGCUGAUGAUUAUUACAGGAGAAAAAGAGACAGAAUUAGAGAUUUUCCCAACAUGGGCGCAUUUGAGCAAACACCAUGCUGUGCAAACAACUGCCAAGUCACCAUGGCGACGGUCAAUCCGCCACUUGUGAGGAACGUGAGCAGAAGGAGAGCUGCCAUUGGUUGCGAAUGGAGGAGCCUGCUGCUGACAAGAUGGCCAUGCUGCAAAGGACAAAAGUGACCUGUAGCAGAGGACAGUAAACAACACUGAGCUCUGUCUCUGCAGCCAGGGCAUGUUGUGUUCUGCUUCCCCCACCUCUGCAUUUCAGACACCGUGAAGUCAUAAAAUACAUUUCUUUUUUAUAUGCAUGAGAGGAUUAUAGAGCGGGCCUACAACGGGGCAGGGGGGCCCUGGGCCAGAACAUCUGCCAGAUGUGACUGUGUUUGGAAAGUCAGUCAAGAGUUCAGAGACACAAAACAACAACAAAGAAGGACAAAAUGGCUGCAAAGAGACACAAACCAGCAACACCAGCAACAAAGAGAUGCAAAGCAACUACAAAGAUGCAAAACAAAUACAAAGAGAUGUGAAAUGAGCACAAAGCAUCCGUUUCAGUCUGGAUGUCUGGCUCAUGUUUGGGGUGUGGGGUGGGUACAUGUCUGUCCCAUGGGCCCAUUGUGUCAUUAUCCAGCCAAUGCUAUAUUCAUUCAGGAGUGCCUGUGAGUAUGUGGUGUAUUUUGCUGUAUCGACAUGCUUAAUUCUUACAAUAGUCAGACCAUCAGUCACCAUCAAUUGUCACAAUAAUAUGUAUAUAUAAACAAGCAUAUGUUUUUGUUCCAAGGUUACUGACAGAAUCUCCAACCAAACUCAGCCCUACACUGUAACCCGGUCCUUCUGACUCUUCUUUGGUGUCACAUUAAGAAAUAGGCUUCUAGGUUUUUAUUGUAAGGAUCUGGCAGAUAAAUUGAAGUAAAUCCAAUGAGCACUGGGCUAACCCCAUGGGCUGCAGCCUCGCUGAAAUUGCAUGAAGCCUUGAUGUGAUUAGAGCAACUCGCUCACAACAUUUGAAAGCCACACAGAAAGCAGCUGAGCUUCUGUUAUCUGUCAGGUGGGAUGUGCGGUCCUGAAAAACAGAAAAUGCUGCAAGGUCAAACUGCAGCGCCAGGCAACAUGUCACGACUUUGCUUCCUACAAACA